rnacentral:rRNA from 1 species
CCCUUAGAUGUUCUGGGCUGCACGCGCGCUACACUGAAGCGUUCAACGAGUAUUCACCUUGCCCGGGAGGGUUGGGUAAUCUUUUGAAAACGCUUCGUGAUGGGGAUAGAUUAUUGCAAUUAUUAAUCUUCAACGAGGAAUUCCUAGUAAGCGCGAGUCAUCAGCUCGUGCUGAUUACGUCCCUGCCCUUUGUACACACCGUUGCUCCUACCGAUUGAGUGAUCCGGUGAAUAAUUCGGACUGCAGCACUGCUUGGUCUCCGGGCUUUGCAGCGGAAAGUUUAGUGAACCUUAUCACUUAGAGGAAGGAGAAGUCGUAACA